rnacentral:rRNA from 1 species
UACGUAGGGGGCUAGCGUUAUCCGGAAUUACUGGGCGUAAAGGGUGCGUAGGUGGUUUCUUAAGUCAGAGGUGAAAGGCUACGGCUCAACCGUAGUAAGCCUUUGAAACUGGAAGACUUGAGUUAAGGAGAGGAAAGUGGGAUUCCUAGUGUAGCGGUGAAAUGCGUAGAUAUUAGGAGGAAUACCAGUGGCGAAGGCGACUUUCUGGACUUAUACUGACGCUGAGGUACGAAAGCGUGGGGAGCAAACAGGAUUAGAUACCGCGUAGUCCCUGAGCGGGCUGGCAAGG